rfam:Salmo salar isolate Sally breed double haploid chromosome ssa29, whole genome shotgun sequence.
UGAUACCGCAAAUAGUAAGUCGCUCUGGAUAAGAGCGUCUGCUAAAUGACUAAAA